CCUACGGGUGGUAGCAGUGGGGAAUAUUGGACAAUGGGGGCAACCCUGAUCCAGCCAUGCCGCGUGUGUGAAGAAGGCCCUCGGGUUGUAAAGCACUUUCAGUGAGGAAGAACGCCUGGUGGUUAAUACCCAUCAGGAAAGACAUCACUCACAGAAGAAGCACCGGCUAACUCCGUGCCAGCAGCCGCGGUAAUACGGAGGGUGCGAGCGUUAAUCGGAAUUACUGGGCGUAAAGCGCGCGUAGGUGGCUUGAUAAGCCGGUUGUGAAAGCCCCGGGCUCAACCUGGGAACGGCAUCCGGAACUGUCAAGCUAGAGUGCAGGAGAGGAAGGUAGAAUUCCCGGUGUAGCGGUGAAAUGCGUAGAGAUCGGGAGGAAUACCAGUGGCGAAGGCGGCCUUCUGGACUGACACUGACACUGAGGUGCGAAAGCGUGGGUAGCAAACAGGAUUAGAUACCCUUGUAGUC
rnacentral:rRNA from 1 species